rnacentral:rRNA from 1 species
AUUGAACGCUGGCGGCAGGCCUAACACAUGCAAGUCGAACGGUAACAGGAAGCAGCUUGCUGCUUCGCUGACGAGUGGCGGACGGGUGAGUAAUGUCUGGGAAGCUGCCUGAUGGGGGGGGAUAACUACUGGAAACGGUAGCUAAUACCGCAUAAUGUCGCAAGACCAAAGAGGGGGACCUUCGGGCCUCUUGCCAUCGGAUGUGCCCAGAUGGGAUUAGCUUGUUGGUGGGGUAACGGCUCACCAAGGCGACGAUCCCUAGCUGGUCUGAGAGGAUGACCAGCCACACUGGAACUGAGACACGGUCCAGACUCCUACGGGAGGCAGCAGUGGGGAAUAUUGCACAAUGGGCGCAAGCCUGAUGCAGCCAUGCCGCGUGUAUGAAGAAGGCCUUCGGGUUGUAAAGUACUUUCAGCGGGGAGGAAGGGAGUAAAGUUAAUACCUUUGCUCAUUGACGUUACCCGCAGAAGAAGCACCGGCUAACUCCGU